rnacentral:lncRNA from 1 species
GGCUCCAAAAAAAUAAUAAUAAAAAAAGCGCUGAAGAGGAGCUCCCCUCACUCCCUCAUCAGCGGCACGUCAGGUCAGACGGUGAGAGGAGCCGGUUCCUUCGCCGUACCUUUUCUUUCCUCUUCCCCUCGCCAGUCCCGACUCCCGACUCCUGACCUACCAAUCUCGACCUACAUCACUACAGCUAGCGUGCGUCUUCCACCGCGUGGCCGCGUGGCCUACAACAAGCCGCCGCCGCCGUGCCGUGCCGUGCCCAUACCCCACGGCCGCCGGCUGACGCUGACGCCCCCCCUCAAACCUCUCCACCUUCGCCGUUCCCGUUCAUGUUCAUAGCGUCCCUGUCCCUGCUUGUCCCUCCCCCGCCCGCAAGCCGCAACCUUUGGCCACUGGAUUUAAA